rnacentral:rRNA from 1 species
UACGUAGGUCCCGAGCGUUGUCCGGAUUUAUUGGGCGUAAAGCGAGCGCAGGUGGUUUAUUAAGUCUGGUGUAAAAGGCAGUGGCUCAACCAUUGUAUGCAUUGGAAACUGGUAGACUUGAGUGCAGGAGAGGAGAGUGGAAUUCCUAGUGUAGCGGUGAAAUGCGUAGAUAUUAGGAGGAACACCAGUGGCGAAGGCGGCUUACUGGACUGUAACUGACGUUGAGGCUCGAAAGCGUGGGGAGCAAACAGG